AUUGAACGCUGGCGGCAGGCCUAACACAUGCAAGUCGAGCGGUAGAGAGGUGCUUGCACCUCUUGAGAGCGGCGGACGGGUGAGUAAUGCCUAGGAAUCUGCCUGGUAGGGGGGGAUAACGCUCGGAAACGGACGCUAAUACCGCAUACGUCCUACGGGAGAAAGCAGGGGACCUUCGGGCCUUCCGCUAUCAGAUGAGCCUAGGUCGGAUUAGCUAGUUGGUGAGGUAAUGGCUCACCAAGGCGACGAUCCGUAACUGGUCUGAGAGGAUGAUCAGUCACACUGGAACUGAGACACGGUCCAGACUCCUACGGGAGGCAGCAGUGGGGAAUAUUGGACAAUGGGCGAAAGCCUGAUCCAGCCAUGCCGCGUGUGUGAAGAAGGUCUUCGGAUUGUAAAGCACUUUAAGUUGGGAGGAAGGGUCGUUACCUAAUACGUGACGAUUUUGACGUUACCGACAGAAUAAGCACCGGCUAACUCUGUGCCAGCCGCCGCCGUAAUAC
rnacentral:rRNA from 1 species